rnacentral:tRNA from 1 species
GUCGAGAUAACUCAGCUGGUAGAGCAGAGGAUUAAAAAUCCUUGUGACACUAGUUCUAAUAUGGUUCUUGGCA